rnacentral:rRNA from 1 species
ACCAACAGGGAUUGCCUCAGUAGCGGCGAGUGAAGCGGCAAGAGCUCAGAUUUGAAAUCGUGCUUUGCGGCACGAGUUGUAGAUUGCAGGUUGGAGUCUGUGUGGAAGGCGGUGUCCAAGUCCCUUGGAACAGGGCGCCCAGGAGGGUGAGAGCCCCGUGGGAUGCCGGCGGAAGCAGUGAGGCCCUUCUGACGAGUCGAGUUGUUUGGGAAUGCAGCUCCAAGCGGGUGGUAAAUUCCAUCUAAGGCUAAAUACUGGCGAGAGACCGAUAGCGAACAAGUACUGUGAAGGAAAGAUGAAAAGCACUUUGAAAAGAGAGUGAAACAGCACGUGAAAUUGUUGAAAGGGAAGGGUAUUGCGCCCGACAUGGGGAUUGCGCACCGCUGCCUCUCGUGGGCGGCGCUCUGGGCUUUCCCUGGGCCAGCAUCGGUUCUUGCUGCAGGAGAAGGGGUUCUGGAACGUGGCUCUUCGGAGUGUUAUAG